rnacentral:rRNA from 1 species
GACGAACGCUGGCGGCGUGCUUAACACAUGCAAGUCGAACGAGACGAUUGAAAGCUUGCUUUCGAAAGUCGAGUGGCAAACGGGUGAGUAACGCGUAGACAACCUGCCUUUGAGAUGGGGACAACAGUUCGAAAGGACUGCUAAUACCGAAUGUUGUAUAUUUUCCACAUGGAAGAUAUAUUAAAGAUGGCCUCUAUUUAUAAGCUAUCGCUCAAAGAUGGGUCUGCGUCUGAUUAGCUGGUUGGUGGGGUAACGGCCUACCAAGGCGACGAUCAGUAGCCGGUCUGAGAGGAUGAGCGGCCACAUUGGGACGGAGACACGGCCCAGACUCCUACGGGAGGCAGCAGUGGGGAAUCUUCCACAAUGGACGAAAGUCUGAUGGAGCAACGCCGCGUGAGUGAAGAAGGGUUUCGGCUCGUAAAGCUCUGUUGUCGGGGACGAAUGUGCAGUAUUUGAAUAAAGUACUGCAAUGACGGUACCUGACGAGGAAGCCACGGCUAACUACGUGCCAGCCGCCGCAGUAA